rnacentral:rRNA from 1 species
CCUAUUAUAAAAAUUUAAAUUAAUUUACUAAAAAAUUAAUAGUUAUGUUCUUUAAAUUUAAAAAAUUUGGCGGUAUUUUAGUCUUAUUAGAGGAAUCUGUUUAUUAAUUGAUAAUCCACGAUUAAUUUUACUUAUUUUAAUUAAUUCAUAUAUCGCUGUCAUGAAUAUAUUUAAAAAUUUAUUUUCUUUAAUUAUUUUAAUAAUUUAUGUUAAGUCAAGAUGUGGUUUAUAAAUAAGAAUAUAAUGGGUUACAUUAAAUUUUAUUUUUGGAUUUAAAAUGAAAAUUAAAAUGAAAUUGGAUUUAAUAGUAAGUUUAAUUAAUUUAUUAAUAUGAAUAAAGAUCUAAAUU